rnacentral:rRNA from 1 species
UACGGAGGGUGCGAGCGUUGUCCGGAAUCACUGGGCGUAAAGGGCGCGUAGGUGGCGCGGGCAGUCAACGGUGAAAGUUCGGGGCUCAACCCUGAAUCGGCCGUCGAUACUCCCGUGCUUGAGCACUGUAGAGGCAGAUGGAAUUCCAGGUGUAGCGGUGAAAUGCGUAGAUAUCUGGAGGAACACCGGUGGCGAAGGCGGCAUCCUGGACCGACACUGACGCUGAGGAGCGAAAGCCAGGGGAGCAAACGGG